CAGUCGCCGCGGGAAUACGUAGGUGGUAAGCGUUGUCCGGAAUUAUUGGGCGUAAAGGGCUCGCAGGCGGUUUCUUAAGUCUGAUGUGAAAGCCCCCGGCUCAACCGGGUAGGGUCAUUGGAAACUGGGAAACUUGAGUGCAGAAGAGGAGAGUGGAAUUCCACGUGUAGCGGUGAAAUGUGUAGAGAUGUGGAGGAACACCAGUGGCGAAGGCGACUCUCUGGUCUGUAACUGACGCUGAGGAGCGAAAGCGUGGGGAGCGAACAGGAUUAGAUACCCCAGUAGUCCCUGUCUCUUAUAC
rnacentral:rRNA from 1 species